rnacentral:lncRNA from 1 species
AUCCAUAUAUAAUCAAUGCACUUAAUCAUAUAAGAGCUCUGGAUUGUUUGCAAGAAGAUCCACAUGGAGACCCAAUAUGGGGUCUGUUAUGGUUAGAUCUAGAUGUUAUUUCUUCUCAUGGUCAUGGCUAAAACAAAUCUUAGGAAUAGAACUUUUCAAAACAUUUAAUCAUGCAAAUGGUUUCAUACUGGUUUCUCGAAUUCACAAACCUAGAAUAAAUGUAUACUAAUUACAUAAUUGUGGCCAUGUGUUUACAAUUUCAAAUACAUUCAACUACUGCUGUCAUUUCUGUUACCAGACUGUUAUCACAUAACUAACACAUUAAAUUAUUAUUUUCUUUAUUUGACGCAAGAUGUAAUAUGCACGGACAGCCUCAUUAAACUGGACACACCUGACUACAUCCUCUAGC